rnacentral:rRNA from 1 species
GUGCCAGCAGCCGCGGUAAUACAGAGGUCUCAAGCGUUGUUCGGAUUCAUUGGGCGUAAAGGGUGCGUAGGUGGCGAGGCAAGUCUGGUGUGAAAUCCCGGGGCUCAACCCCGGAACUGCACUGGAUACUGCCUUGCUUGAGCACUGGAGAGGGAACUGGAAUUUACGGUGUAGCAGUGAAAUGCGUAGAUAUCGUAAGGAAGACCAGUGGCGAAGGCGAGUUCCUGGACAGUUGCUGACACUGAGGCACGAAGGCUAGGGGAGCAAACGGGAUUAGAUACCCCCGUAGUCC